CCUACGGGAGGCAGCAGUGGGGAAUAUUGCACAAUGCUGGAAACCCUGAUGCAGCGACGCCGCGUGAGUGAAGAAGUAAUUCGUUAUGUAAAGCUCUAUCAGCAGGGAAGAAAAUGACGGUACGUGAGUAAGAAGCCCCGGCUAACUACGUGCCAGCAGCCGCGGUAAUACGUAGGGGGCAAGCGUUAUCCGGAUUUACUGGGUGUAAAGGGAGCGUAGACGGCAGUGCAAGUCUGGAGUGAAAGGCGUGGGCUCAACCUCCGGACUGCUCUGGAAACUGUACGGCUGGAGUGCCGGAGAGGAUAGUGGAAUUCCUGGUGUAGCGGUGAAAUGCGUAGAUAUUAGGAGGAACACCAGUAGCGAAGGCGGCUUACUGGAUUGUAACUGACGUUGAGGCGCGAAAGCGUGGGGAGCAAACAGGAUUAGAUACCCUUGUAGUC
rnacentral:rRNA from 1 species